rnacentral:rRNA from 1 species
CCUACGGGUGGCAGCAGUGGGGAAUAUUGCACAAUGGAGGAAACCCUGAUGCAGCGACGCAGCGUGAAUGAAGAAGUCUUUCGGUAUGUAAAGCUCUAUCAACAGGGGAGAAAUAAAGUCCUUCGGACGUUGGACGGUACCUGACUAAGAAGACCCGGCUAACGACGUGCUAGCAGCCGCGGUAAUACGUAGGGGGAAAGCGUUGUCCGGAUUUACUGGGUGUAAAGGGAGCGUAGACGGCAGCGCAAGUCUGGAGUGAAAGCCCAUGGCUUAACCAUGGAACUGCAUUGGAAACUGGGCAUCUGGAGUGCAGGAGAGGUAAGCGGAAUUCGUAGUGUAGCGGUGAAAUGCGUAGAUAUUAGGAGGAACACCAGUGGCGAAGGCGGCUUACUGGACUGUAACUGACGUUGAGGCUCGAAAGCGUGGGGAGCAAACAGGAUUAGAUACCCUAGUAGUC